GCGGUGGAGCAUGUGGUUUAAUUCGAUGCAACGCGAAGAACCUUACCUAGGCUUGACAUCCCUGGAAUUUUGUGGAAACACAAAAGUGCCUUUCGGGGAACCAGGAGACAGGUGCUGCAUGGCUGUCGUCAGCUUGUGUCGUGAGAUGUUGGGUUAAGUCCCGCAACGAGCGCAACCCUUAUCUUUAAUUGCCAGCAUUCAGUUGGGCACUUUAAAGAGACUGCCGGUGUUAAACCGGAGGAAGGUGGGGAUGACGUCAAGUCCUCAUGGCCUUUAUGCUUAGGGCUACACACGUGCUACAAUGGGUGGUACAACGAGUUGCGAGUCGGUGACGGCGAGCUAAUCUCUUAAAGCCAAUCUCAGUUCGGAUUGUAGGCUGCAACUCGCCUACAUGAAGUCGGAAUCGCUAGUAAUCGCGGAUCAGCACGCCGCGGUGAAUACGUUCCCGGGCCUU
rnacentral:rRNA from 1 species